GUCAGGAUAGCUGAGCAGUCUGAGGUGCUGCGUUCAGGUUGCAGCCUGCCCUGGAGGCGUGGGUUCGAAUCCCACUCCUGAAA
rnacentral:tRNA from 1 species